GACGAACGCUGGCGGCGUGCUUAACACAUGCAAGUCGAACGGAAAGGCCCUGCUUUCGUGGGGUGCUCGAGUGGCGAACGGGUGAGUAACACGUGAGUAACCUGCCCUUGACUUUGGGAUAACUUCAGGAAACUGGGGCUAAUACCGGAUAGGAGCUCCUGCUGCAUGGUGGGGGUUGGAAAGUCUCGGCGGUUGGGGAUGGACUCGCGGCUUAUCAGCUUGUUGGUGGGGUAGUGGCUUACCAAGGCAUUGGCCGGUAGCCGGCCGGAGAGCGUGACCGGCCACCUUGGUCCUGCGGUACGGCGCAGUCUCCUACGUGAGGCAGCAGUGGGGAGUAUUGCCCAAUGGGCGGACGCCUGAUGCAGCGACGUUGCGUGCGUGAUGACGGCCUUCGGGUUGUGAACCGCUUUCGCCUGUGACGAAGCGUGAGUGACGGUACUGAGUGAAGAAGCACCGGCUAACUACGUG
rnacentral:rRNA from 1 species